rnacentral:rRNA from 1 species
GACGAACGCUGGCGGCGUGCUUAACACAUGCAAGUCGAACGGAAAGGCCCUGCUUUUGUGGGGUGCUCGAGUGGCGAACGGGUGAGUAACACGUGAGUAACCUGCCCUUGACUUUGGGAUAACUUCAGGAAACUGGGGCUAAUACCGGAUAGGAGCUCCUGCUGCAUGGUGGGGGUUGGAAAGUUUCGGCGGUUGGGGAUGGACUCGCGGCUUAUCAGCUUGUUGGUGGGGUAGUGGCUUACCAAGGCUUUGACGGGUAGCCGGCCUGAGAGGGUGACCGGCCACAUUGGGACUGAGAUACGGCCCAGACUCCUACGGGAGGCAGCAGUGGGGGAUAUUGCACAAUGGGCGGAAGCCUGAUGCAGCAACGCCGCAUGCGGGAUGACGGCCUUCGGGUUGUAAACCGCUUUCGCCUGUGACGAAGCGUGAGUGACGGUAAUGGGUAAAGAAGCACCGGCUAACUACGUG